rnacentral:lncRNA from 1 species
AACAAUCUAAGCCACUGAGUAGCCACUUGUGGGGACUCAAACUCAACGAGUCAACUAGUUCUACCCCAUUAAGGUGAUGGCGGAACUCCGGGCAUAUACAUGCACUUCCGGCGUAAGCAGCAUCCACGUGAACCCACAUGCCAUGUUCCUUCGCCACACCAGCGAGCAGUUCGAUUGGAUCAACAGCCGUGGUGGAAGUAGUCCCUAGGGUGACACAAAGAUAGAGUGGGACCAACCCAUUCUCCAUGUCUGCUUCGACGGCGGCCUUAAGCUGAAUGGGAGAUAAAGAGAAACCGGCGUCGAUCGUCGUCGGAAUCAACCUAAUGUUCCGAGGAGAAAUGCCGACCAUCUUACAAGCUUUAGCAAAUGUGGAAUGAGUUUGGUCGGAAGCAUAAACAACAAACUUGUUCAAGUUGCCGGAGCCGUCGACAUCAAGAGCUUUGUCCCUCGCCGCAAUUAGCGUAACGAGAAUAGCUUCACUGGUGGUGUUCUGGAUAACGCCACCGCCAGUACCUUGAAACAUGAACGACUUGGGUAGCUACAGCAUGUCAGCCAGCCAAUCGAUGACCAGCAUUUCCAACUCAGUCGCCGCCGGCGAAGCAAUCCAGUUGAAACCAACGGAGUUAAAGCAAGUACAAAGCAUUUCACCAAGGAAACCGGCAGUGCUAACAGUUGAAGGAAAAAAAGCAAAGAAAUUAGGGCUUAACCAAUGCGUCAUCCCUGGGAUUAUCUGGUUUUUAACGUCUUCAAGGAUCGUUUCAAGGGACUCAGGCAGAGACGGUGCGUUUUGCGGCAAGUUAGCCCGGAGAUAGCCUGGUUGCACCUGACUUAAAACAGGGUAGCUGUCGAUAUUUUGAUAAUAAUCAGGAAUGAAAUCCACCAUUUCAUGAGGUUGUUUUCUAAACUCUUGAGGGUUUAAGGGAUUGAAAUGGGGUGUGUUGGCCAAGUUGGAUUCAAUAUUUUUACCCAUAAUAAUAAUUAUUAAUAAUUAAUAUUAAUAAUAAUAACUCUAAAAAUCCAGAAAGAAAGAGAUACUGAGAUAGUGAUAUAGGGAUUAUAGUCUAAGGUUAUAUAGAAAAAAAAACUUGUUUUUCUAUUUAGACAUUAUAUAAAAACAAAGUUUCAACGGAUGCUUCCUUUUAUAGUAAAAGUCAGCCACUAUGUUGAUUAAAUGUAGAGGUAGUUGAUAAGUCGUCAGUUUUAAACGUGAAGAAUACCCGGGGAAUAGGGUUCAAUUCUGUGUUAUUAGAGGCAAUCUUUUCCGAACCAAAUCCACCUAUCCGACCGGAUGAAUCUGAUAGCUAUUAGAGGUCAAAUUAAUAUUUCACGCAUUUAUUAAUUAAUUAAAAUUUUUAAUAUUAUAUUUUUAAUUACAGUAAUUAAUUUAUAAUAAUAUUUUUUUUAUUUAGAUGAUUGAAUAUAACUAUGAUUAUAAAUGUCACCAUUUGUUUUCCUAUAUUUUAUAAUAAUCCUAUUUUAAAACUUAUAUUAAAUUUAUAAUUAAUUUUAAAUUAAAAAUUAUCAUACCUUCUAUUUUACUUUAUUUCUUUUAAAUGUAAAUUUAGUAAUAUGAUGAGAGGUAUGACCCUUAGUUCAAAAAUUUCUCAAAACACAUGCUUUUAUAUAUACUAACUUCCAACCAAUAAGUGGUCGAGGGCAAUGGUAGUACACAUUGUACUCUCAAGGGAAUGACUUAGGUUCGAACUUUGAAGAUGAUAUUGUUAGGAGGGACAGCUACGAACCCCGAACAUGAACCAUAAAAUAGAUAUUAAUAAUAUAAAAAAAACUUUUAAUUUUAUAUGUGUUGUAUGUGAUUUUAUGCAUUUAAUAUUUAAUUAAUUAUUAUUAUUUAAAUAUAAUUAAAAUAUAUUAACUUAUCAAUUCGAAUAUUAUAAUAGAAAAUUUUCAAAUCAUAAAUAACGUACAAUAUAAUUUUACUUUAUGUAAUUAAUGAAAAAAUAACAGAACAUAAUUAGCUCUAAUAUAUUAAUCAAGUGAUAAUUAAGAUGUCUACAAUUCUGUAAUAAUUUUAAUUUACAUCAAUAAAAUUAGCACAUUUUUUAGAUCAAAAUUUUUAACUAAUAAUUUUAAUUUAAUUUAUAAUUAUCAUAACUAUUUUUCCUAUAUUUUGUACUUAGAGUUUUAUUCAAGUAAUAAUUUAAUUUUAAAAUUAGCACAAUAUUUUUAUAGUUAGAGUUUUAUACUUAGAGUUUAAGAAAAUUUAGAAAAAAAAACCUUUAAAAAUCAAUCUAGAAUUAAAGGUGAGUUUAGAAUAUAGUUUAAAUCCUUCUUAAAAACUAUAAUAAUGCAACAUUCAUGAAAUAUAGGUCUGAAAAAUGGAUUUGGACAAAAAAAUAAAACCCAUUUUCUAAACAUGUCAGGCCUGCCCGAAUUUGCAAAAAAAAAAAGUUGUUGUUUUUUAAUGUUUUGCCACUAUUUUUUCAUUGUUUUCCUAUCAUUUAACUAUUAUAUUGUUAUUAUUUUAUUGUUAUUUUUUGGAUAUUGUAUAACUCUUGUUUUAUUAAUAAUUUUGCUUCUAUUUUAGAGGUAUUUGCUUGCUAAGUUGCACUUAUUUUGGUGCUAUUUAUUUAUUUUUCAUUUGUUGGGGAACAGUUAUUUUAAUGUUUUUUGUGCAUUUGAUGUAUUAUAUUUUUUAAAUAUAUUUUUAUAUAAAAAAUAAUAGAGAAUUUUUUAAUAUGGGCUGGGCCGGAUUUUAGUAUUUUUAUCUGGAUCGGGCUUGAAAAAAAUUUAGGCCCAUUUUUUGAGUCGGGAUGAGCCCGAACCCAGAAAAUGGGCCUAAAUGUAUUACUUGACUCGACCCUAUCCAUGGACAACUCUAGUUUAGAAUAUAGUUUAAAGCCUUUUUAAAAACAAUAAUCAUAUAACAUUCAUGAAAUAUAUACACCUAAAACACAAAUAUAAAUUUAACUUAUUACCUUUUUUAAAAUAUAUAUAAAUUAAAUGAUUUUUUUAUACAAUUCCUAUUACUAUUAUAAUUCCUUGAAUUUAUAAAUCAGAAAAUAGUACGUGUUUAAAUGCGCUCAAAUUCACAUCCUUUUAUAAGUUACAAUAAUAGAGAUGUCAACUUUAUAAAUGAUGGUUAAAUUUGUAAGUAAUAAUAAAUAAAAAUAAUUAAUGAUAGAGAUCUUAAUACGUCAAGCAAUUCUAAUAAUGUAAUUCUUAGUUCCAAAAUUUGGUAACUAAGUUUAUUUAUAUAUAUUUUUUGUUCCGUUUUAGUGCAUGAACUUAUCCGUUUUUUCUAAUUUAACACUAGAACUUCUAUAAAAUUGUGAUGAUACUACGGCCAUUUAAAAUUGUAUAUGUCAUCACUUGAAAUUUUAAAUUAAUUAUUUUAAGUUUCAGGUGAUAAUUAACAUGCAUUGUGGUACAGAGACUCUUGUAUUAAGAGUUAGAUUACAUUUUACCCCACUACUAAAAAAAUGGUCAAAUUAGUUCUUGUAUGUUAGAUCAAAGAGCAAUUUGGUCAUCUGUUAAAAAUGUAUCCGUUUUUACUGCUAAAAAUUGGUCAUUAUAUAUUAGCGUGAGGUAUAUAUGGCACGCUAUAUAUAAUUGUUUAAUUGUUUUGUUAGCCACACCAAUUUUUUACAAUAGAAUGGAUGAAUUUUUUAACAAAAAGGACUAAUUUACUAUUUGAUCUAAUGUACAAAGACUAAUUUGUCUAUUUUUUUAGUAUAGGAGGUAAAAUACAAUCUAUUCUUAAUAUAGGGCCUUCAUGGUAAUUUUACCUAUGAAUUACAUUAUUUUUUUCACCAUAUGCAGGUGGUCAGCCAUUGCUGCCAUGUUACCAGGAAGAACAGACAAUGAAAUAAAGAAUCAUUGGCACACAAAUCUCAAGAAGCACGUUAAACAUAAGCCCUCAACCACGAAAUUUCACGAUAAAUACACCAACAAUCAAAACCUAAACGACGAUCAUCUUCAAAUAAACCCCAUCAUUCCGCCAUUGAUCCUCGAAAGCUCACCACCACCACCAUUAUCAACCAAUACACAAAGCCCCUUCACCACUACAGAUAACUCAGUUGAAUCGACCAAAGCUGACUCUGUUUCUGAUUUUUGGUCCGAACCAUUUCUGUUAGACAUUUUGUCGGACGAUUUGCCGACGAUGGGUGCAUCCGCAGGCUUUGAAUUGGAUCUUCUUGAUGGAGAAAUCUUAUCACCCUUCGGUUUCUACGAUCAUCUUGACCCCUAUAUACGAUAGAUCGAGCCAAAAACAUAUAUAAACUUAAUUUCUUUUCAAAACUUAGUCGUGAUAAUAAACUAUAUAUGUAUAUAAAAAGAUAGAUAUAAUACAAAACUAUUCAUAUUAUUUGUAUUGUGCUUAUGUUAUUUUUUAUGUUAUAAUUAUUUUAUAUAUAUAUAUAUAUAUUAAAUUUUAACAUAUUAAUAAUUUAUUUUAAAUAAAAUUAAACCAUUUUUAUUGCUUUUAUAUAUAACUUUAUAUAUUUUUAAAUACAUCUUGAAGGGGAGAAAUAUCAUGCAAAUUCCUCCUCAAUAGCUAAAUAACAUACUACACCUUUUCUUAAACUAUAUUCUAGAAUAUAGAGAGAGAACCUUUUUAGUUUUUUAAAAUAGAUAUAGUCAGCCAAGCUCACCUUCUAGAAGUUUAUGUAAUUCUUCUUUCAUAUUUAGUUGAUAUUCAUUACCAGCGGUAAAGUUGGAAAAUUUUUUGGGAUAAAAUUAAAUUAUAUUUUUAUUGAUAAUAAAAAUAUAAUUUUAUUAUUUUAAUAAUUUAUAUUUUAAUAAUUUUAAAAAAAUUAAUUAAAUUAUUAUCAUUUUUAAUAGAUUAAAAUGUAAUUUUAUUAUUAUUAAUUUAGAAUUUUAUAAAUUAUAAAAAAUAAAAUAAAAUCGAGACCGGCCCCUUGGCUCUCCAACCACUGCACAUUGAGAUUUAUGUGGAACUGUUCAUGUUCUUAUUCAAUCAUCGCCAAUCAAAGGACGUAAGGCACUUAAUGAUUAACAGGAGCUUUAAAUAGGGAUCAUAAAUUCAAAACCAUUAGUUCAAGCUAUCUUGCUCAACUUUACCUCUUAAUUAUUAAAUAAGACUUUAACAUAUAAUUUCCUUUUUUAAUGUGGUACUUAUAUAUAUUUUAUUUAUAUUUGUAUUAGAUAAAAGUUAUACAUUAAUCGUUUAAUUUUUUCGUGCUUAAUUCAGAUUUUAAAAUUGAAUUGAUGAAAAUUCGUAAUUAACAAAUAAUACUAACUAUUAAUUUUUAUAAAAUAAGCUAUAAAAUCUGAAUCAAAUCACAUCCAUCGCACUAUAUUUGACAAAUUAAAUCUAUAAUUACCAUUAAAUUUAUUUUAUCAACAAAAUUAUAAAAAUUACAAACUUAAUAAUAUCAGAAAUUAACUUUCAUAAAAUCAAUCUUAAAAUCCCUAUUAAAUGCUAACAAACUAACAUCAUUACACCUUAUAUUUAUCUACCUAUAUAUUAUCAUAUUAUGUCUCAAAAUAAUCUUAUGUUAAUUUAUUAUUUUUAUCACCGCUUCAAUGAAAUCAUCUUUCUCCUAGUUUGAAAACGUUUUAGGUUCAUGGUUUGGUCAAAAAAAGAAAAUGGAAUACACCAAAACGCAAUCAAUUCGUGAAUGGUUGUUUUUUUUGUUAUGUGUAUUUUUAUUAGAGUUAAAAUAUAAUUUUAAAAAAUUAAUUAAAAUUUUAUUAAUAUGAGAGUUAAAAGUGCAAUUUUACUAUGUGUUAUCUUAAAAUUUUAAAGGGUUUAAUUUGUUAUUUGGGAAGGGGAGGCCGAUAGGUACGAGUCUGAUUAUUUGCAAUUGUCAAUUUUGUAUCUCUAGUUCUACCAUUCGUAGGUGUUAUGUGCGAGUUUUAUCUGGUUAUAUUUUGAUUCUUCAUCAAUUUGUUCUUUGUAUUCUCAUGUUCGUUUUACUUUUCAUGAAGAUUAAUUUUUUCGAGAUUCGUAGCUACUUCUCACAAUAAUGUCAUCUCUAAGGGUAGAUUUUGAUUUCUCCUUUUGAAAGUGCACCUAAUACUUAUUAGUGUUCUACUCUAUAAUUGUUCGAACAUAUCUAUACUUGUAACUGUAUUAUAUUUAUACACAUAAAGAUUAUAUUUGUUUAAGCACUCGUAAAUAUAGUCAAAUAUAUAUUAUUGUUAAAUAUAGUUAAAUAAAUAUAUUAUUGUCGAUUAUCAUAUUUUUUACAUUUAAAAUUUAGUUUUUAUUUUUAAUUUAAGAAAUUUAGUUAUUUACAUUUUAGAUUUAAAAACAAAAAUUUAAUUAUGAAUAUAGUUAGAAUUCUUUAUUAAAGUUAGGUUUAUUGAAACAUGAAAUUAUUAUUAUUAUUAUAGGAAAUUAUUUUUUUUAUUUCAUGUUAUACCAAUAAAUUUAGAGUUUAUUUAAUUUUAAAUUUUAAAUUUGGAAAAAUUAGAAAAAUUAAAUUUUAAAUGCUUGCAAGUUAUGGCAUAUUUAGCCUUAUUAAUGACAUUUCCAAAUACUAAAGCACGUCCACACUAGCUACGGUGGAAGUGAGGCAGUCAAACAGUCUUCAGCAAUGCAUCAGCUCCUUCCUUGAUCAGCUUCCAUGCAGCAACCACGUGGUUGUCACCCGUCAAUGUGGCGCCCACAGCAAAUCUCAGGAUAUAUAUUCCACCAACUUUCGUAUGAGUCAUAUAAACCCGACCCGUCGAAUUGACCCAAUCCAACAACUUCCGGUUCAACAGUUCGGUGUAAUCCGACCCGAAAGUUUCAUCCGGGUUCAAUCGGAAACACACCAGCCCGAACUCUCUUGGCACCACAAUCUCGAACCUCGGGUCGGAUCUUACAAAAUCCUCGAAUAUCUUGGCCAUCCCUACGUCGGACCGGAUGUGAUCUUGUAAGUUGACGACACCGUAUGUUCGAAAAAUGAGCCAUAAUCUUAAUGACUUGAACCGCCGGCCGGUACCGACUUGCCAGUCCUUGAAAUCGACGACGGAAUCCGAUUCGCUUUGUUUGUUUCUCAAGUAUUCGGGGUUGGUGCUUAGAGCUUUGACAAGUGCGGUGGGGUUUUUCACCCACAAGCAGCAACAAUCUAAGCCACUGAGUAGCCACUUGUGGGGACUCAAACUCAACGAGUCAACUAGUUCUACCCCAUUAAGGUGAUGGCGGAACUCCGGGCAUAUACAUGCACUUCCGGCAUAAGCAGCAUCCACGUGAACCCACAUGCCAUGUUCCUUCGCCACACCAGCGAGCAGUUCGAUUGGGUCAACAGCCGUGGUGGAAGUGGUCCCUAGGGUGACACAAAGAUAAAGUGGGACCAACCCAUCCGCCAUGUCUGCUUCGACGGCGGCCUUAAGCUGAAUGGGAGAUAAAGAGAAACCGGCGUCGAUCGUCGUC